rnacentral:rRNA from 1 species
UACGUAGGGUGCGAGCGUUAAUCGGAAUUACUGGGCGUAAAGCGUGCGCAGGCGGUUCGUUAAGACAGAUGUGAAAUCCCCGGGCUUAACCUGGGAACUGCAUUUGUGACUGGCGAGCUAGAGUAUGGCAGAGGGGGGUAGAAUUCCACGUGUAGCAGUGAAAUGCGUAGAGAUGUGGAGGAAUACCGAUGGCGAAGGCAGCCCCCUGGGCCAAUACUGACGCUCAUGCACGAAAGCGUGGGGAGCAAACGAGGAU